UCAGUACAAAUAAUAUGCUGCUCUCAGUCGAGUGACACUAAAGGACAAAAAGACCCUCUGAAGCUUUAUAGGGAUAAAACUUGGACUGUAACAUCGCGAUCUAAAUUAUCUUAUUGCAUCGCAGCUAAAGUGAAUAGAUUUCUGAUUUCUCCUAAGACCACUGUUUAAUUGGGGCGAUAA
rnacentral:rRNA from 1 species